AGGUGGAAGAAACAACCGGGAUUGCCUCAGUAACGGCGAGUGAAGCGGCAAGAGCUCAAAUUUGAAAUCUGGCCCCUCCGGGGUCCGAGUUGUAAUUUGCAGAGGAUGCUUCGGGUGCGGCCCCUGUCUAAGUGCCCUGGAACGGGCCGUCAGAGAGGGUGAGAAUCCCGUCUUGGGCAGGGUGCCCGUGCCCGUGUGAAGCUCCUUCGACGAGUCGAGUUGUUUGGGAAUGCAGCUCAAAAUGGGUGGUAAAUUUCAUCUAAAGCUAAAUACCGGCCGGAGACCGAUAGCGCACAAGUAGAGUGAUCGAAAGAUGAAAAGCACUUUGAAAAGAGAGUUAAACAGCACGUGAAAUUGUUGAAAGGGAAGCGCUUGCAACCAGACUCGGCCUCGGGGUUCAGCCAGCAUUCGUGCUGGUGUACUUCCCCGGGGCCGGGCCAGCGUCGGUUUGGGCGGCCGGUCAAAGGCCCCAGGAAUGUAUCGUCCUCCGGGACGUCUUAUAGCCUGGGGUGCAAUGCGGCCAGCCUGGACCGAGGAACGCGCUUCGGCACGGACGCUGGCGUAAUGGUCGCAAACGACCCGUCUUGAAACACGGACCAAGGAGUCUAACAUCUACGCGAGUGUUCGGGUGUCAAACCCGUACGCGCAGUGAAAGCGAACGGAGGUGGGAGCCCCCCCGGGGCGCACCAUCGACCGAUCC
rnacentral:rRNA from 1 species